rnacentral:rRNA from 1 species
GGCCAGACUCCUACGGGAGGCAGCAGUGGGGGAUAUUGCACAAUGGGGGGAACCCUGAUGCAGCGACGCCGCGUGGGUGAAGGAGCGUUUCGGCGCGUAAAGCCCUUUCGGCAGGGAAGAAGGAGGGCGGCACCUGACUAAGAAGCCCCGACUAACUACGUGCCAGCAGCCGCGGUAAUACGUAGGGGGCCAGCGUUAUCCGGAUUUACUGGGUGUAAAGGGGGCGCAGACGGCAGCGCAAGCCAGGAGUGAAAGCCCGGGGCCCAACCCCGGGACUGCUCUGGAAACUGCGGCGCUGGAGUGCGGGAGGGGCAGGCGGAAUUCCUGGUGUAGCGGUGAAAUGCGUAGAUAUCAGGAGGAACACCGGCGGCGAAGGCGGCCUGCUGGACCGUGACUGACGUUGAGGCUCGAGAGCGUGGGGAGCAAACAGGAUUAGAUACCCUCGUA